rnacentral:rRNA from 1 species
UUCGCCCUUAGAGUUUGAUUCUGGCUCAGGACGAACGCUGGCGGCGUGCCUAAUACAUGCAAGUCGAGCGGACAGAUGGGAGCUUGCUCCCUGAUGUUAGCGGCGGACGGGUGAGUAACACGUGGGUAACCUGCCUGUAAGACUGGGAUAACUCCGGGAAACCGGGGCUAAUACCGGAUGGUUGUUUGAACCGCAUGGUUCAAACAUAAAAGGUGGCUUCGGCUACCACUUACAGAUGGACCCGCGGCGCAUUAGCUAGUUGGUGAGGUAACGGCUCACCAAGGCGUCGACGGGUAGCCGGCCUGAGAGGGUGACCGGCCACACUGGGACUGAGACACGGCCCAGACUCCUACGGGAGGCAGCAGUAGGGAAUCUUCCGCAAUGGACGAAAGUCUGACGGAGCAACGCCGCGUGAGUGAUGAAGGUUUUCGGAUCGUAAAACUCUGUUGUUAGGGAAGAACAAGUGCUAGUUGAAUAAGCUGGCACCUUGACGGUACCUAACCAGAAAGCCACGGCUAACUACGUGCCAGCAGCCGCGGUAAUACGUAGGUGGCAAGCGUUAUCCGGAAUUAUUGGGCGUAAAGGGCUCGCAGGCGGUUUCUUAAGUCUGAUGUGAAAGCCCACGGCUCAACCGUGGAGGGUCAUUGGAAACUGGGGAACUUGAGUGCAGAAGAGGAGAGUGGAAUUCCACGUGUAGCGGUGAAAUGCGUAGAUAUGUGGAGGAACACCAGUGGCGAAGGCGACUCUCUGGUCUGUAACUGACGCUGAGGCGCGAAAGCGUGGGGAGCGAACAGGAUUAGAUACCCUGGUAGUCCACGCCGUANACGAUGAGUGCUAAGUGUUAGAGGGUUUCCGCCCUUUNAGUGUGAAAGUUACGCAUUANGCACUCCGCCUGGGGAGUACGGGCCGCAGGCUGAAACUNNCAAGAAUUGACGGGGGCCCGNNCACAGCGUGNAGCAUGUGGUUUAAUUUCGAUGCACGCGAAGAACUUANCNNAGUCUGACAUCCUCUGACACCCCUAGAGAUAGGGCUUCUCCUCGGGAGCAAANUGACAGGUGNUGCAUGGUGUCGUCACUCGUGUCNUGAAAGUUGGGGUUAGUCCCGCACGAGCGCACCCUUGAUCUUANUGCCAGCAUUCAGUGGGCCUCUAGGUGACUGCGGUGACCAACGGAGGAAGGGGGGGAGACGUCAA